CAGUGCCAGCGGGAGCGUCGCGGCCGUCCCCCCUAACUCGGGGGGCCGUGUUCGAUCGGCGCCCUGCGACCGGCCCCACACUUGUCUACAGACCGCGUUGCCUCGGCGGGCCCGCCGCUUAGUCGGCCGCCGGGGGGGACUAAUUCUCCCCCCUGGCCAGCGCCCGCCGGAGGACCGAUCGAAAUAUCUUUUUUUUAACGAGUUGCAGUCUGAGCGAUAAUCGCAAAUGAAUCAAAACUUUCAACAAUGGAUCUCUUGGUUCCGGCAUCGAUGAAGAACGCAGCGAAAUGCGAUAAGUAAUGUGAAUUGCAGAAUUCCGUGAAUCAUCGAAUCUUUGAACGCACAUUGCGCCCUCUGGUAUUCCGGGGGGCAUGCCUGUCCGAGCGUCAUUGCAACCCUCAAGCACGGCUUGUGUUAUGGGCUUUCCCGUCCCGCUAUCUCAGUGGACGAGCCCGAAAUGCAGUGAUCGCCGCCGCGAUACCGGCGUCCGAGCGAAUGGGAAUUUACACCAAAGCUCAGUGGGCCCGGCCGGCAGUUUCGGUCCUACAACCAAUUUUUUCUAAGGUUGACCUCGGAUCAGGUAGGGAUACCCGCUGAACUUAAG
rnacentral:misc_RNA from 1 species